rnacentral:lncRNA from 1 species
AAACAUACGCGUGCUCAAUCUUCUUCUCUACAAUUGAUUUGAAACCCUAAUUUUGCCUCACUUCCUUCACAGCCCUCUCACGAUCCUUUUUCCUCUCCACCGGUAGAAACCUUCUUCUUCUUCUCUGAUUUUCCUUUUCGUCUCUUCGCCGGCUACGAUCUAUUUCUCUUUUCCCAACUUCUCUACCGUUCGUCUUUCACGUCACCACAACCAUUACAGUAUCCCUCAUCGCUCUCUGUAUCAGUCCCUCGCCGCUUUCUUCGUGUGAUUACAGCCGCGCAAGACCUACC